rnacentral:rRNA from 1 species
AGAGUUUGAUUAUGGCUCAGGAUGAACGCUAGCGGCAGGCUUAACACAUGCAAGUCGAGGGGCAGCAUAAAGUAGCAAUACUUGGUGGCGACCGGCGUACGGGUGCGUAACGCGUAUGCAACCUACCUAUAACAGGAGGAUAAUCUGGGGAAACCUGGUCUAAUAUUCCAUAGCAUUAUAGAAUCGCAUGAUUUUAUAAUUAAAGUUGCGAGAUGGUUAUAGAUGGGCAUGCGUAUCAUUAGGUAGUUGGAGAGGUAAUGGCUCCCCAAGCCGACGAUGAUUAGGGGUUCUGAGAGGAAGAUCCCCCACACUGGAACUGAGACACGGUCCAGACUCCUACGGGAGGCAGCAGUGAGGAAUAUUGGUCAAUGGACGGAAGUCUGAACCAGCCAUGCCGCGUGCAGGAAGACGGCCUUAUGGGUUGUAAACUGCUUUUGUGCGAGAGCAAUAAGGGUUACGAGUAAUCCGAUGAGAGUAUCGUACGAAUAAGCAUCGGCUAACUCCGUGCCAGCAGCCGCGGUAAUACGGAGGAUGCAAGCGUUAUCCGGAUUCAUUGGGUUUAAAGGGUGCGUAGGCGGACUAAUAAGUCAGUGGUGAAAUAUUGCAGCUUAACUGUAAUCGUGCCAUAGAUACUGUUAGUCUAGAGUGCAAAUGGAGUAGGCGGAAUAUGUCAUGUAGCGGUGAAAUGCAUAGAUAUGACAUAGAACACCGAUCGCGAAGGCAGCUUACUAAGAUGCAACUGACGCUGAUGCACGAAAGCGUGGGGAUCAAACAGGAUUAGAUACCCUGGUAGUCCACGCUGUAAACGAUGAUAACUCGUUGUCGGCGAUACACAGUCGGUGACUGAGCGAAAGCGAUAAGUUAUCCACCUGGGGAGUACGAUCGCAAGGUUGAAACUCAAAGGAAUUGACGGGGGCCCGCACAAGCGGAGGAGCAUGUGGUUUAAUUCGAUGAUACGCGAGGAACCUUACCUAGACUUGAACGAAGAAGUGAUAUAACAGAAAUGUGAUAGCCAGCAAUGGACUUUUUCGAGGUGCUGCAUGGUUGUCGUCAGCUCGUGCCGUGAGGUGUCAGGUUAAGUCCUAUAACGAGCGCAACCCUUACACUUAGUUGCCAGCAUUUAAGGUGGGGACUCUAAGUGGACUGCCGGCGCAAGCCGCGAGGAAGGUGGGGAUGACGUCAAAUCAGCACGGCCCUUACGUCUAGGGCGACACACGUGCUACAAUGGCCGAUACAGAGGGCAGCUACUUGGUGACAAGAUGCGAAUCUCGAAAGUCGGUCUCAGUUCGGAUUGGAGUCUGCAACUCGACUCCAUGAAGUUGGAUUCGCUAGUAAUCGCGCAUCAGCCAUGGCGCGGUGAAUACGUUCCCGGGCCUUGUACACACCGCCCGU